UUAGGAAUAUUCGUCAAUGGGGGAAACCCUGAACGAGCAAUGCCGCGUGAGUGAUGAAGGCCCUAUGGGUUGUAAAACUCUGUUGUAUGGGAAGAACGGUCAUAUAAGGAAAUGUAUAUGGAGUGACGGUACCAUACCAGAAAGCUCCGGCUAACUACGUGCCAGCAGCCGCGGUAAUACGUAGGGAGCGAGCGUUAUCCGGAUUUAUUGGGCGUAAAGCGUGCGUAGGCGGCAUGUUAAGUUUAAGAUAAAAGCCCGGGGCUCAACUCCGGUUCGUCUUAAAAACUGGCAAGCUUGAGUGUGGUAGAGGUAAAUGGAAUUUCUAGUGUAGCGGUGAAAUGCGUAGAUAUUAGAAGGAACACCAGUGGCGAAGGCGAUUUACUGGGCCAUAACUGACGCUGAGGCACGAAAGCGUGGGGAGCAAAUAGG
rnacentral:rRNA from 1 species